GCAGCUCCCCACAACCUGUCGGCAGUGAUGACCUGUCACCAGAAAGCUGAUGGAUACUUCAACGGGUCCUGGCAGUUUGGUGUCAGUGGACAGACUUUGCUCCCUUUUGACUCAAACCAAAUAAAUUGGAUGGAGGUCCUUCCUGGACGGAGUUACAUGAAGGAGUGGAAGAAUGACAAGGAGCUGAGCCAAUUCUUAUACCGGACAUCAAGGGAGGACUGUGGGAGUUGGUUGAAAGCAUUCAUGGAGCGUGGGAAGGAAAGUCUGGAGACCAGAGCACCAGCCACCACCCCAGCUGUAGCAGGAUCUAGUUCCAAGGCCACCAUGCUGAACCCCUGCUCCCUGCUGCUGAUCCUGUCCUGCUCAUAUAUUCUUUUGUAUGGUCUCUGGUUUUAAAAAGAAUUAAAUUAUUUUUAUUCCUUCAGUAACUUACUGUGUUUUGACACAUAAAGAUCUUUAUUUUGAAAC
rnacentral:lncRNA from 1 species